GAUGGUGGGGACAUGGGGAUGGCAGGGACGUGGGGUCCCCAAAAGAGACCAGAAAUGCAAAAAGUGGUAUUUCUCUUUCUCCCUUUAGCCACCAACGAAGCCUUCGCAGUGAUCGCUCCCGCUGGCACAGCUGAGUCCUGCCAUCUAAAUGAAACUGAAAAGCUGAGGAAAUAAUAAAAUUGAAAAAAAAGCGCUGAGUGAGAAGAGGCAGCUCCUCAAAAGCUGGAGAACCACGUGCUGUGGGUGGUGGAACCCCAGUCCCCUUCCCAAGUGGGGAGAACUUGGGGGUACAGAGAGAGAAGCCCCCAAAAGGCAGCCCUGGAGCUGAAAGAGGGUCCCCUGGAGCCACGGAUGGGAAUCCUGCCCCACACCACAGGAAAUCAAACUGCACCUUGGCGUUGUGAAACGAGGAUGAGUAUGGAAAAGGCUGGUGGCAGAGCUGACUCCAAGGGAGAGCCCCCCAGGAUGGUGGGGGACAGUAGGACCCCCGGCCACAGCUGCCUCUGGGUCAGGGUGAGUCUGGGAAUGAAUCCGGUGCCAGCUUUGGGGUUGAAAAUAAAAAAUUAAAUGUUAAAAACACAGUGAAGCAGAUGUUUAAAUUUAAGGGUGCGAGUAAUGCCUCUGAUGGUGCUGGGACCGUGGGUCUGCUCAAAGUUACACACACACAAAGUGCUGCCUGGAGCGGU
rnacentral:lncRNA from 1 species